AUAAUUUUAAUAUUGUUUGGUUGAGGGCUUUCAGUACCCUAAGAAGGCGUUCAAAGACCCCGAAGGGUCUACGGACCCCCAUUUGAGGACCACUGGUUUAGCCGAUGCAGAAUUAAUUGACCUUUUUAGGAAAUCGCCAGUUUAAGAGGUUCUGGUAUGAAAAUGCGAGCAUGUGCUCAAACAAGCGCAAGCACUGCUUCGACUGAGGGGGUCCUCAAACUGCAGGAGCAAAACCUCAAGCAGAUGAAGCUGAUCCAAAAGCUGGAGCUUGAAGUCAAACGUUGCUCUCUCAAGCCCCCUCUUGCUUCUCAUAAGGAAAACCUGUUUCCGUGAACUGCGCACUGAUCCGAUUUCGCAUACACCUGUCGCUGCUCCUAUUGUAAGCAUGCAGCCUUCAAGCCAAUUGGACUGGUAUUUAUUAUACCAGGAUUUUUACUGUCAUUUUAUUUUUAGAUUAUAUAUGUGAAUUUUUAAACGUGCAGAAUAAAAAGUAUAAGAAAACAUGGUA